GUAUGAUGCUGUAGAAGCCAAGCAGAAACCAAACCUUAUGUCAUUUUUUUCCAACUCUUUAUUUAAAAAAAACACGACAAACAUCCAUACAUAAAUAUUUAAAUAAACAAAUAUACAGGAAGGAAACUUCACAAUUCGAUGUAGGACUCAAGACAGGACGUGUUACAAAUUUUACGUCCAAAAUGGACUCAAGGAAUAAAAUGCACCUAGGGUUAGAUAUUGAAUAGCGUUUGUUUUUUAUCCAUUUAUCACAAAAAAUAUAACUUUUAGUAAUAAAGUAACAGGCUGUGGCUCUUUCCAUUUUACACUGCGUGAUUAUUUGUGAAUGGAUCUUAGACCAGUUGUCUACUGUAGGAGAUUUCCCGUUUCUGGCCAUCGAUGUUUCAGGAUUUCAUUAAUAUAUGGAGUAUAACAGGCCUAGUCUCCCGAUUCAAUAUUUUCAGAUCCGAACUUUAUAUAAUUUAUGCUUUUACCUUAACUAAGAUAAAGAGGGUAUUUUUUUUUUUUUUUCUGACAAUAAAAACACUUUAAGUCCCUCACCUUCUCCGUAACUCAAAAUAUGAUUUACUAAGCUUUUUCUGUGUUUGGCUAGGUGCUUUACAAUUCAGUUAUGGAAUGAGAAAGUAUUUUAUUUUUUUGUACAGAUUUAACUUUGAAUCUUUAAUUUUUAAACAAAAAACUUUCUUCCUGCGAAUUGCACACAUCAAUCAAAUAUUAACCAAAUUUUCUUUUUUUUGGUGAGGAAAAGCAAGGUGAACAUUUAGACCAGUAGCUAACUGCUAUCAUCUACUUAGGAGCUAUGGCUUCAGUCACUUUUUUCUAUCGAUAAGUCAGCCACAUUGGCUUGAAAGUAUGUUGUCCAAUUUUUCUUAGGAAGUCUUCUCGCGUCAGGAUGUCCCAUAGCCAUUCAUCUGGGUCAAGGUAAGGAAUUUUCAAAUAUAUCAAAUAUCAUACAAAGUUGGGGGACACUGAUUUUAUCUUUAAUACAACAUUACUAAAGAAAUAUAUAGUUACCGUGCCAAUAUCAGUCCCUAUUCUCAGGAAGUUGAAUAUAACAAAGAAAAUUAAAAAGAAAAACUGUUCUGCAGAGUGUAAAGCAAUUUAAAUGAUAACAUUUAAAAAAAAAAAAAGCUACCUUAACCCCUUAAGGACAGAUGACGGAAAUAUUCCGUCAUGAUUCCCUUUUAUUCCAGAAGACGUGUCGUUAAGGGGUUAAAUCUCACAAAACAAUAAGCACAAAAGAUUUGUUUUCCCCUAAAGCACUUUGUAUAAAAUGUCAUCUAACCCACUUGGGCCAAGAACCACAUCCACCAAUGUCUCUAGGUAGAUUGGGAAUAAAUGAGUCUGACUCAGCAGGAGAUUUGGCCACCUGGGUACCUGGCACAGAUGACUAAGAAGGUGACUAAGAAGGUCUUUCUCUUGAUUCGUGACUGCAGUUCAAUUAUUCCAAUAAUGUGUUUCUAUAUGAGCUAUAAUUCCUCAAGAGCAGACCAUCUUUCCCAACAAAAAUGUAUAUGUACAUCAUCGGCGUGAAAUUUCUUCUGCGUAAUCCGAUCACUUGUAGAUUUUCUGUUAAGGAAUAAUUUUAAUUAUUGCUGGGCAGCAUGAUUCCCCCUAGUGGGGGGUUAAAUUGUUUUGUCGAGGCCCCCCAUUUUAUGUCCAUUCCCCCCCAUAUUUCAUAUCCCC
rnacentral:lncRNA from 1 species